AUGUGUGUUACCCUGGGAGCAGUGGCCCUACCUUGCCAUGUCAUUGUGUGCAGACUCCUCCGUCAGGUGAAUGUUUCUGCUGGAACUGUGGAGUUCAGUCAGUGCUGGGACUGCCGAGUUCAGUUCAUGCUGGGAUUCCAAGGCACAACUGGAACUAACUUGCUGAAUGGAAAACUGGGUUUAUUUGCUUUCUUUAAUGAUAGUAAUUACUCAGGUGCUGGUGUCUUAUCCUGUAUUCUCUUCUGAUUUACUGACAUCAUUUGUCCUGAAGUUUUGAUGCUACUGAGCCCUCAUGUCCAUGGAGAAUAGAUGCUGGAGAUCUAUUUAAAAUAAUUGGCAAUGGAUGUCUUAGAAAUCCUGUCACUGUUUCCCAUAAAGACUGGGGGGUAAGCCUUGAGGCAAGGUUCAGAUAGUGCUUUUCAGGAAAAGCUUAUAUUUAGCAGCUUUUAUUGGAUUCCUUCUCUUUAAUCUGUGAAGAAUUUGAUUUAUGCCAGCAGCAGUUCCUUAUGAAAUCAUGAAAGUGAGUUUGUGAACUCACAAGAAGAGAGGCUGGCCUGACCAGCGAGGUGGCUUUAAGGGGAAUGUUACUUUCCCAUAUUUAGUAUGUUACAAAGGAUACAAACAAGUGUUCUCUUUAGCUUCUGGGGCUAGGUUUGUCUGCAGGCUUUUUUUUCCUCGAGGAGCAGCAUCCUCUCAAGCACUGUUCACAAGCCUGUAACUCCAAGCAGUCACUGAGAUGUGCAUGACCAGCUGCAGCAAGGCAGGCAACAAUGGAGCAUCCUUAUGGAUCCUUUAUCUUGUAGAUAGGUCUUGAAUCAUGAUAUGGCAGCUUCAGGUUGUUUACCUGAGCUCUGGUGAUUUAAGCUGUUACCAUUAAAUCUGUGAUAACGCCUUGAGGGGUGUGUUGAUUUGGCAUGGCCUGGUUUUUUGGUAAUGGCGGGGGAGGAAACCAUGGAGGGACACAGGGGUGGCUUCUGUGGGAAGCUGCUAGAAGCUCCCACCAUGUCCAGCAGGGCCAGUCUGAUGGCUCUGAGGAUGGACAUACUGCUGGCCCAAUUUAGAGAGGUUGGUAAGGCCUCUGGGAUGACACACAUCAGACGAAAAUCCAAUGGCACGUGCGCAGUUUUGCCUGAGGGGUGGGGAGG
rnacentral:lncRNA from 1 species